rnacentral:lncRNA from 1 species
ACUAGCAAGAGCUGGUUUCCCCUGUGAUUUGAGUGUUCACACUUUUGUUUGUGUAUCGUAGUCCUUUUUCAGAUAUGCCACCUGCAAGAUGAGAACAGAAGGACCAAGGAAAAUACCUUCCUGUUUUCAUCUCCCAGACAUGCAGAGGGUCCCAGAUGCCCUCCUUUGAAGAAGAAUCCCUAACACUUCCCCCACUCUUUUCAGCUGUGAAGAGAGGAAUCAGCAUACCAGCUAUAACUUCAUAUGACUAAUGGUAACCAUGGCGACCACUAAAUAUUCCUUCCAGACCUUGCAUCUGCACAGCUCAGUGAAGCAGAGGAAAU